AUCUAACUGAUGAGUCCCAACUAGGACGAAACACACGUACUGGAC
rnacentral:hammerhead_ribozyme from 1 species